rnacentral:misc_RNA from 1 species
GAUGAAGAACGUAGCGAAAUGCGAUAAGUAAUGUGAAUUGCAGAAUUCAGUGAAUCAUCGAAUCUUUGAACGCACAUUGCGCCCUCUGGUAUUCCGGGGGGCAUGCCUGUCCGAGCGUCAUUGCUGCCCUCAAGCACGGCUUGUGUGUUGGGCCUCCGUCCUCCUCCCGGGGGACGGGCCCGAAAGGCAGCGGCGGCACCGCGUCCGGUCCUCGAGCGUAUGGGGCUUCGUCACCCGCUCUUGUAGGCCCGGCCGGCGCUUGCCGACACAUCAAUCAUUUUUCCAGGUUGACCUCGGAUCAGGUAGGGAUACCCGCUGAACUUAAGCAUAUCAAUAAGCGGAGGA